rnacentral:lncRNA from 1 species
GAGGACACUCACCACCAAGGCCGGGACCGAAAGACCGAGCCGCUGCGCGCUGCGUUAAUACAGCCAUCCGGGAGAGGGGCGGAGCUGCCCCCCCCCCCCGAGACCUGCAACCAAUCAGAGGGCCGCUUGGAGGGGGCAGAACAGGAAAAGGAGAGCAGCCAAUCGUCAGAAGGAUUGUAGGCGUGGCUGGUAUGGGAAGCCAAUCGUCGGGACGUUUCGGACCCGGUAGGGUGGGGCCGUUGACUUCCAGCAGCAGGUUCUCCACCCACUGCGGUGUUGGAAGCGUUGAGGCUGUGCUCAGUGGAAACCUUCCUUUCCUGAAGCUAUGCCGGUGCUAGGUGUGUUCCGACUUAGAUCCCUUCUUGUUCAGCUAGUUCACUCCCAGGGCCCCUCCUUAACCCUGAGAGGAGCUGCCUUUUUCUGUGUUCCUGGAGAGUAAUAUCAAGGAGAAAUGUUGCUGGAGAUGUGAGGCAGUUAGUUCUCAACAGAGCUCUACCACAGAGCUACCUCCUCAGCCCGUACCAUUAAUUUUGAGUCAGAGUCUCUCUUAGGUGCCCACACUGCUUUCUAACUUACUGUGUAGCUAGUUCAGGGUAUUCAUCAAACUUGUUAUCCUCAGUGCUACGUGCUAGGAUUGCUGGCAUGCAUGCCACUCUCCACCUAGGCUAUACCUUUGUCUUGUUUUUAGUGGUCCUGGGUUAAAAGUAGAGCCUGGCGUCUCAGAUCCCAAACCCUUUUAUUACUUUGAAACUAGGUCUCACUAAAUUUCCCAGACAAGACUGGAACUUUCCGUCCUUCUGCCUCAGCUUCCUGAGUAGAAGGGACGACAAAUUUUCACCACCAGGCCUGGAUAUGUGCUUAACUUAUUUUAAUGAGAAUUUCCACGGUCUGAGAUGAUUUUAUUGGCAAGGUUUUUAAAAUAAUAAUAAUAAUAAUAAUAAUAAUAAUAAAAUUAUUUUUUUAAUUUGAAGAAAUUAAAUUUCCAAACUUAUAUUAAAACUAAAAAUGUUCAA